AGUGGUUACAAACCGAACAAAACAGACAGAACUUGGUAGUAGAAUUGAGCAAAAUUGGCGGGCCAACCGCAAAGGAGGUUGUGAAGCGGGUCAUGUAUCGAUUAUUUGAAAAUUCCUUAGGCAUGGAGUACUCCUGGGAAGGCAAAAGAAAGAAAAAAGUUUUUAAAUCACUUUCCAUUUCUUCAGUAAUCAUAGAUUGAGCCAUCUUCAGAUAUUCGAAUACAAUAAUGAACGCAAUAAUAUGAAAAAAGAUGA